UACGUAGGGGGCAAGCGUUGUCCGGAAUCAUUGGGCGUAAAGCGCGUGUAGGCGGUUCGGUAAGUCCGCUGUGAAAGUCCAGGGCUCAACCCUGGGAUGCCGGUGGAUACUGUCGGACUAGAGUACGGAAGAGGCGAGUGGAAUUCCCGGUGUAGCGGUGAAAUGCGCAGAUAUCGGGAGGAACACCAAUUGCGAAGGCAGCUCGCUGGGACGUCACUGACG
rnacentral:rRNA from 1 species